rnacentral:tRNA from 11 species
GACUCUGUAGCUCAGUUGGUAGAGCAAGUGACUCUUAAUCACUGGGUCGUGAGUUCGAGCCUCACCGGGGUCACCA